rnacentral:lncRNA from 1 species
UAGGCUAGGACACAAGAGUGGUUUCCCAUAAAACAGGAGGCUUCAAAAAACAGUGGGCAAGUUCGCUACAUAAAAAAAUCCUAGAUAAAACUAAGAACCAUAUUUAGCCACGUAAACAUCCUUGCAAGAGACAAAAUUGAGUGACGCAAGGAGUGACAUCACUUUUCUUCCCUGCCUUACAUCAUCAUCAGCAACUGCGCAUGCUCUUGUACAGUACAUACAUGUCUUUAAAUCCUUACUUGACUAAUUGUCUUCUUCUAUUUUAUCCUAAAUUUUAGCACUGAACUACUACUAGCUACCUAGUAAAACAGAAGAGGAUGAGUAGUCAGGGCAACGCUGACAGUGGUGUUCGAGACGGUCUCCAAGGUGGAGCCGUUCAGGCAGUGCGUUCUCCGGCUGUGAGAGAAAGGGAAAGGAAAGGGGAAGGGAGAAGGCCAAUGGCACCACCUAAAAGAGGAAGUGUGAUGAAGCAGAUUGUGGCUGAUUUGUGUGAAGUUAAACUUUUCGCCUUUGAUUCGAAUGAAGCUACUUGAUUAAUUGCUCCACAUAGUCAUUGACAUGAUAUCUAUGUAUGCUUUUCGUAUAUACUUUUCAUUCCCUUUUCCUUUUCUCGUGAAAUGUGGUAUUGAGGAUCGAGCACAAUGGAGUCAGCAUUUUGCUAAUGACAACAACAAAAUUAAGUACGCAUUGUUUCCAUCUCUCGAUAGAAAUCAAUACUGUUACUGAAUUAUGUAUUCUACAGUUAUUUAUUUUUAAUUAUGUGGUGUGUUUGGAAGUAUUCUUAUUAAGAAUUUUAUUCUAUUUUAUUAUUUCAGUAUAAUAUUCGCAAUUCCUAAAUUCAAAGCAAAUUUAAUAUACGAAAUAAUAAUUGUUAAUUACAGUAUUCACUAACUACAUUUAAAGAAAUCAAAGUAGAUUACCUAUAUGUGAUGUGAUUCAAAGAGCUGGCUAUGUAUGAGUGUCGAAGAAAAACAGUAAAGGGUAUCCUUUUGGUAGCAAAGCUUUGGUCAAUGUUACUUCCUUUUUUCUCCUGCAACUUGUUUUUUUGUUUCUUCUUUUUUGUUUUGGUGCUAGUGCACUGAUGUUUUCUUCUUUUCUCCUUACGACUUGUGUUUACUUUUCUUUUUUUUUUUUUUUUUUUCACGUUUUAGUGCUGCAACACUUGGAUGUUUUUUAUUUAACUCUUUCGGUUGUUUUGGUGCUAUGGGAGUUAUCUUUUUUUUUUUUUUUUUCUUUUUGUAAUGGUUUAAAUGCGACUUAAAUUAACCGUGUUUAGUUAGACUAUUUUAUUGUAAAAUGUUAUUCUUUGCAACCGAAAAUAAAUUAUUAAAAUUCAUCCUUAAAUUAAAAUUGUCCCCUAAGUUUAAUAUGAGUAAAAUAUCAUAAUAAACUUAAAUCGUCGGCUUUGUUUCCUAUUAUAAAAAAAAGGGACAAUUUUUGAAAUUAUUUCCUUAUUUCAAGGGUUAUGACUUGGAUACAAAUAAUAUCCACCGUCUCCAAUUUUCGUCUCCUUUUCUCACUUUUUUUUGUGGUGGUCACUUAAUCUUUCAUAUUACUCAUACUUCUAUUUUGAUAUACUUAAUAUUUAUAUUUAUAUCUAAAAAUAUAUUUGGUUCAAUGUAGCAGGUUGAAGUAUAUAUCCAAACUCCUAAUUAUUACAGACAAAAUCCGUGGCAUUAAAUAUUUUGAGGACAUUAAGAUUUGUUACAGUGAAAUUGUUCGGCCUAAAUAGAGCCAUCUAUCACAACUCUAUCUCUAUUUCAUAACACGAAGAAAGAAUCAUAGCCUUUCAUUAUUUUUUUUUCACCUUUUUUUUUAUCAUAUUCAUUAAUAGCUUUGAGGAAUACUUCCAAUUUUGCUUAUAUGUUUUCACUAACUCAAAAAAUGCAUUGAACUAUUGUUUAAAAAUAUUAUGUUAAUUUAUAUUAAUUAUUACAGCAUUAUUGAAAACUCAUAUGGACGAGAAUAUUCAAAUUUAAAAUCACUGUAAUUCUCAAAAAAAAAUUAAAAUUAAAAUCACUGUUUUCUCACCUUUAAAAGAAAUGAAAUUGAAAAUAUCAAAUAUAUAUACGUAAUUAAUAUCAUUUUAGCCACAUAAUUUUCAAUUGGUUGAUUUAACAAUCAAAUUUCAUUAUAAUAAACCAAAUAAAAAUCGAAUCAAAUCACUGAGUUGGACCAAACCGGUUCGAAUUAAAUCGGAAUGGUCUAGAAGCUCUAGAUUUCUCCUUUCCUUUUCUUUUUCUUUUCUUCUUCUUCUUCGGCGACACGCCUCUCCUCUCCUCCCUCUCCUUCCCUCUUGUUUCGGCCAUCUGAGACAGUCGAAUCACGCUCUCCUCGUCGUUGCGCCACCAUUGUGCUGCAGUUCUUUCCCCUCUCUGUUUCCAUCUUCAGCGGGCGCAGCAAAUUGGUGAGCUGCGAUCCCUCUCACUGGCGAUCGACGCAGCUGCCCCACCUGCCUCCAAACGCUACUCAAUGUCACGUUCUUUCCCUGCUCACGAGUCCAGUGAGCGCUGAACACGGAGGAACUGCAGUUUUUUUUUGUAAUUGGUGGCGACAAUGACGGCGAUACUAGACCCCUGCCAAGCCCGCUAUGACUGAGUGUAGGGCCAAUCUAGCGAAACAAAUGCCAAAAAUGAAUUCUUGAGCAAAAUCUGAGCUAGAUGGUGUAAAGAGAGCUCGAUUCCGAGCACUCACGAUUUUUCGGCCACCGUGUAUGGUUGCCAGAGGCUGCGGUCCGGCGAUCGGCCGGCGAGUCUAUAGCAUGCCCCAAGAGACAAAAUGAUCUUCUCUUUGUGCAAAUCAUAGAAUCAGAGAUUCUCAAUCGGUACGCUCUAAGACUUAGUUCGUCAUUUUUGUUAAAAAUUUCAAACUUAAAUUAAUUGGUUAAUUUAGUUAAUUUCGAAUAAAUAAGUAAUAGAAGGACUUUGAAAUAUUCAGUUUUGAAGUUUGUGAAAAUAAUUGGAGUUUUUAGGAGAUUUGAACUUGAGAUUCAAUUGUUAGAAAUUGUGAUUAUAUUAGAUGAUUGAUAACGUAAGUUAACUAGAAUUGAUUAUUGUUGUGAAUUAAAAUCUAGGAAGUUUAGUUUUAUAUGACUAUGAUAUUGAGCCUUAUUACCUCUAAGUGUAAAUCAUGAAUCAAUAACAAGUACUUGGUUAUCUUUAUUAACUUGUGAUUUAGUUGUUAGUUAAAGAAUGUAUAACCUAUAAUACAAUUGUGGAUGAGUUGAUCUUGGAUCCUUUUGGUGCAAUGAUGGGAUGGUGUUAGUAAACUGUUCAUAAUUAAAAGGGAAUGAACUAUUAAUCAAUCGAUUAUUAUGUUGUUGUAAUUAUAAGCAUUUUGGAUAGGCUAAUAAUGUGAGGUUUAGAAUUUUUUAGAAUGAUUAAGUGCAUAUAUGUGUGUGUGUGGUGGUUAAUGAAUAAUGGUUAUGGUAGACGGGAUUAGUUAUUGUGAAUUGCCAAUGGACGGGCUUGAGAAUUUAUUAUUGAAUUAUAGUUUUAAGCGGGUGAUUUAGCCCAAUUUCUAGAGAAGGUUGUGCUGAAGUUUCGCUAGAAUCUAGGGUAAUUAUAUAUAAUAAUUAAAUUAAUAGGUUUAUUUGGAUUAAUCUUAUACCUUAAUAUAUUUAAAAUUAAACUCUUUAUUUAUUUAUUUAUUUAUUUAUUUACUUAUUUAUUUAUUUUUAAGAACCGAUUAUUAUAGAAUAUUAUUAUUUAAUACUCUUGUAUUUAUUUGAAUUGGUAUAUGGAUGUUUAUUUGUAUUCUUGUAUGAAAAUGUUUACUUGAUUAAUGUGCUUGCAUUUAAAAGCAAUGUUUGAUUAUUUGUGUUGUGACAUUGCUAUGCCUUGUUUAUAUGGAGUUGAGAUGAAGUGGGUUACCAUGGGUUUGUGAGGACGGUCCUGGAAAUGAUGAAAAUGUGGAAUUUGACGGUCGACCAAGUAUGGAGAGAUCGCGAUCCCGUGUGCACCUGAUGAUAUGAUAUGGAUGAUAUGGAAAACCACAGGAUGGCCUCUUAUUCGUAUAAAAAAGAAAAGAUAGAAUGGAAAAACAAUGAGAGGGUCGAUCAAAUGAGGAUUAGACCGGUCGACCAUGUAUGGGGAUCGGUUCCCUGAUGCACAUGUCAUUAGAGAAUGGGCCAUGUGGGAAGACGACUCAUAGGGGUUUCGGUGACACCACAUACCAAUUUUCACAUGAUUAUGUGAAGUUGUUAAUAAUUUUGAGUGCUGUUGUAUGCCAUUUGUAUGACUGUCAACGUGAUCAUAUAACUAAUUAGAUGACUAGAUUGAUAUAUUUAUGCAUUUGUGUGAAUACAUAUAUUGUGCAAUAAUUAUUAUUCCUUAUAAAACUCACAUAUCUUGUUUAACUUUUCAAGAAGUAGGUUCCUCUUUAUUCUGAAUUAAGUUCUAUUUCUUCACUGUAGAGUUAGAAAGAAAUUUUUCUAGUUGCAGUGAUUAUUUUGCUAUAUAACUAUUUGUACAAGAACUUAUUUAUAUCUGUCUGUUAGUGAACUCCGCAGUUGUAGGGAUGAAAUCAAUAAACUAAUGAGGAUGUUCAAUUAAUUAUUUAUGAAAUGUUUGAAUCUGUUAGCCCAUAUAUCGUAUUAUAUUUGGCCCCGAGCUAUAAAUUGUUUAAGAUGUUAAAUUUUUCCAAAGAAUAAUAAAAUUAUGAGAUUUAUAGUGCAUGACAAUAUGGGCCGGAUGUUUGAAAUAGACAUAAUAUAGUUAAGUUUUGUAAUUUAGGCUUACUACAGGCCUCGGUGGCCUUAAACUUACCUAGGCCCUAGUGCCGGUUUUGCCCAUGGAAAUGGGUCGUGACAAAGUGCAACUUUAACUAAUUCUUACUUAAUCUCUUUCUAAUUUGGUUGUCUUAAUUUAAUUUAGUUCUAAGUAUGAGACUUCAUCAAUCACUAUUAGGUUUAAUUUCAAUUAGGGUAUUUUACUUUAAUUUAAUUUUAGGUGUGACUUAAUUUAAUUCAAAUUGGAUUGUUUAAUUAAUUUGAUUCAAGUAUGACUACUUAAUUGUUACUUCAUUUAACUUUAGUUUAAAGAUCUUAAUUUAAUUUGAUUUUUAAAUACGAUUUAUUAGAGUGUAAAUUAAUCAUUCAAGUUAUUGCCUUUAUCUAUAUGCAUUAAAAUUUAUAUGUGGAGAAUGUCGAAUUAAUUUGAUUUAAGUGUGACUUACUCAAUUGUUACUUCAUUUAAUUUUAGUUUAGAUAUCUUAAUUUAUUUGAUUUUUAAAUAUGAUUUAAUAGAGUGUAAAUUAACCAUUCAAGGUUUUGUCUUUAUCUAUAUACAUUAAAAUUUAUAUGCAGAGAACGUUCCAUAGACUUAUCAUAAGAAAAUGUAUAAUACGUGUCAAAAUAAUUUGACAACGAUUGAUCCUAAGAUUUUACUUAUACUCAUGCCAAAAUGUGCGAUUAUAUGUCAUUUGAGUUAUAACUUUCAAGUGUGACAUAAUCAAUGGUUACUUGGUUUAAUUUAAUUUCAAGUGUAACUUAAUUUAAUUUGAAUUAGAUUAUCUAAAUUUAAUUUGAUUCAAGUGUGACUAAGUGUGAUUUAUUUAAUUUUUAUUUCAUUAAAUUUCAAUUUAAAUAUCUUAAUUUAACUUAAUUGUUAAAUUAAUUAAUAAAAUAUAAAGUAAACUUAAAUGAGAUUGGCCUAACGGUAAAGAGUACUUGCGAAGGUAGAAAUUAUAUUUUUAGGUCAUUGGUUCAAUCCUUACACUCAAAACUCUAGAAAACAUUCACAAUUUUUCUAUGCAUUUCACAACUUAAUUAUUAUUUAAUGCAUUGGUUCAAUCCUUACACACAAAACUCUAGAAAACAUUCACAAUUUUUCUAUGCAUUUCACAACUUAAUUAUUAUUUAAUGCACCUAUUAGCGUAGUGACAUUUAUAUGUAGAACUAAUUUUCAAGUAUAACAAAUAUGACUUAUUUAAUUGUAAUUUGAAUGUUUUAAUUUCAUAUGAUUCCAAAUGUAACAAAGUAUGGCCUAAAAAAAAUCAAGUUAAAGGAAAAUUAAGUGACAUGUGAUUAUUUAUGUCUCAUAAAUCAUUAAGACACUUGGAAGAAUAUAAUUUGCUAAUUGAUGAGGUAAAAACAAAAUAAAUGUCUAGUAUGUGCAUUGAUAAUCUCAUUCAUUCAAUACUUUGUUUAGAGUUAUUAAAUGAUGAAAAAGAAAUAUUUAAAAUUCAAAUUUUAAAUCUCUUCCUCUCUAUGUCAAAUCUACCAAUUUUAAGUGAGGAUUGAAAGUGACAUUUGACAUAUUAAAUUUGAAUUAAAAUGUCAUUUUAAAUCCCAUGAUCCUUGAUCACCAUGUGCUAAAAACCUUUUUCUUUUGAAUUUUACUAUUCCCUCCAUUCUUUUUAUAUAUAUAUAGGAAAAUUUUCUAUUUUGGGUGUUCUUUUUACAUAGAAAAUUUUGUCUAAUUUAAUAACUUUGGGAACCAUGCUAAUUUGAAAAGUCUAUCUUACCAUUAUUUUAGUCUUUUUUUAAGCUUUUAGGAUGUGAAAUUCUCAAGAUAGUGGCAGGCAAAUAUAUAGAUGAACAUUUAAUGUGAAGAAGUUUUAGAGAAUUGUUUUUUUACAUCAAUUUUCAUUAAAAAGAAAAUGUGCUCAUAUAGGUGAUUUGAUUGUCGACUAAAAUGGAGUUUGAAAAGAAAAUGACCAGAAACUUUUUAGAUUGACCAUAAUAAAAAGAAUCCUUACUGAUUUCGCUCGAAUAUUUGAAAAAAUUGUGCGAUAUUUAAACUACGUUUACAAUAGCUAAAAACAUCUUGAAGGUUAAAUGAGCACAAAUUAAAAAUUUCCACACAACUUUACUAAAUAAAGGACUAAAAACCAAAAUUUUCUCCACAAGUCAGAGCAUAAACUUUAAUUUUUGCAACCAUCUUUAUACUCUUCAUUCCAACAAAGCAUUUAAAGCAUAAUUAAAGAUUGAAAUAUAAUUUAAGGGAUACAUUGAUAUUAGAGAAGGAAUAAAUGAGAUAUUAGAAGUAAAUUAGGAAAGCAAAUGACAAAAAAAGUUGAUUAAACUACUUUCUUAAUCUUUAUGGAAAGUUAGUUGUUCCUAUAUAAAAAGAACGGAGGGGGUAUAUAUAUAUAUAUUUUUUUAGUUUUCAAUUAAUUAAAUGCUAUAAAGUAAAGACGUAAUUAUCCUUUAUCACGUGAGAAGAAUUUUUAUAAUUAAAUUUCAGAUUUAAGUUCUUUGUUGAUCCUUGAGCAACAUUUAUUGCAUUUAAUUAGUUCCAAUGUAUAUCACUUUUAAUUCUAAUGACCAUUUAUUAAAGAAUUGAUUGCUGGCUAAAUGCUCAAUUAGUGUUUCCAUUGGCUUAUAAACAAGAAGAUUACAAAAGAAAAAGAUGUAAUAUUAAAAAUUAAAUAUACUUUAGAUAAUAUCAUGAUUUAUACUUUAAAGAAUUAUAUAAUUUGUAUAUUAAAGAAUUUAUAUAUUCAUUUAUACUUAUAAAAAAAUAUAUGUAUUAGCUAUGAAACUAGAAAUAAAAUGGAAGUACGAAUCUAAUUAAAAAAACCUUUAAGAUUAUUUAUGUUAUGGAUUUUCAUUUAAUUAAAUUAACGAAGUAUUACGUUCAUAAAUAUCUUAAUUUCAACUAUAUUAUUCAUAUAUGAUUUAUUUAUUAUUUUCUUUUGACAAAUUAAUAAUUUCUCUUCAAUUCAUAUAAUAUUAUAAUAUAUUUAUUAUAAUCCAUGAAAAUAUAGAAUAUUUUUUAACCGAAAAAAGUAUUUUUUAUUUAAUCUAAUUAUGAUCACAGAAACUUUCUAACUAAUUAAACUCUAAACAUGAAAAAAAUACUAACUAAUUCAAUUAAGUAUAUUAGUGUUUAAUAGAAUUACUGUUAUGCACUUAUUUAAAUUAUAAUAUUAUAUUAUAUUAUAUUAUAUUAAUUAUUAUAUUUAAUUUGAUUAUUCUUAUUAAUUUUUUAAUUUCAUUACAGUGUGCUCAACUUUAUUAAUUUAUUAUUUAUUCUUCAAUACAGUGUGCUCAACUUUGAAAAUAAUUUAUCUACAUUCUAAAAAAAUAUAAAUAUUUAUUAUUUUAUUAUUUUAAUCAAUUCAUAAUGAAACAUUAUAUUUUAAUUACAAAAUGCUAGAAUAUUAAGUGUAUAUGACUGUGCAUACAUAUGAAAGAUUGAAUAACUAUAUAAUCGAAAUAUAUGGAUCAAUAGUAGUAUAUAUGAAUUUUAAGAAGUAGUUUAUCAAUAUAGCGAUAUUUUUCAAUUCUAUAGAAUAAAUAUAUGCAUGACAUACAUAACUAUAACACAUGGUUUAUUUCAUAAAAUAUUAAUGUACUAAUUGAAUCAUAAGAAUAAAUAUUUAGCAUACAUACUAAUUAUGUGAAGCAAAGGUAUAUGUAGUUAUGAAAUUAUAAGAGAUGUUUAAAUCAUAAAAUAUUAAAAUAGUAAUUAACUCAUAAGGAACAAUUUUAAUAAAUACUAUUUCAUUAAAUUUAAAAAAUUAAAGUUACCUUGAAAUUUCAAUUUGAAAAUUGAUUUAACAUAAAUCAAAAUAUGAUAAUUCAUGUAUCAAUAUGUGUUUUUGUAUUUUAUAAUCAUAAGUAUAAUUUUUCAAAUAUUUCUAUAUGAAUUAAUUAAUAUAGUAAAUUAGUAAAUGACUAUUUUUUUUACU